rnacentral:lncRNA from 1 species
GGUCCCCAUCCUCCUUGCAUGAUCUCCACCGCUCGGUGACCCCUCCUCCCCAUGUGAUCUCUCCCUCUCGAUCCUCCCUCCUCUCUGCACGAACCCCGCUGUUCCUCUCGAUCUCCGGCACAAACGCCCUCGCCGCUCCUCUCGGUCCCGACGCAAACACCCCUGCCUUAGUCCCCUGCGACCGUCCCCCUCCUCUCCAACAGCCCUCCCUCC